CCUCGAUGGCGGGCAGAGGCUGGAUUUCGGCGAACGUCGUCAUGGUCGUGGGCAGCUGGAUCUCUUUGGGGAUCAGGAUCUGAAAGCUGCUCAGUUGAAGAUGCAAUUGGCGCCUCAGCCUCAGAGACUGACUAUACCAUCCUUAUUGCAAAAAAUGACACAACAGCCUCUGAAGCUACAGACCCUCUAUCAGGAACCUCAUGGGUGGUCAGAGGAGGAUGUGGCCUGACCUUCAGGGAUGGCAUAUGGGGAGAUCCUGGUGCAAUUUCUCAUCACAAAGAAGUCUGAGAUCUCUGUAACUAGGGAUCCGUUAUGUCCAGACAGCUGUGUUCUAGGUGCUGUGACCAAGAGAUAGCCUUAGUCAGUCUAUGGACAAAAGGCUUUGGCUAUCCAAUUUUAUCUUCUCAGCAAGUGAUUAUUAAACUUAAUCAUGCAUAACAUUCAUCUAGGGCAUUUUCAAAUUUCCCAGGUAGGACUCCAAGAGAUUCUGAUUGGCUGGAUUGGGUUCCAAGGAUCCAUGUAUUUUACAAGCACUGUGCCCCCUGCUCUCCUAAGGGAUUUUGCAGCAGGUAUUUCACAAACAGAAACUCCAACAGGAAGCUAUCCUUUCUCUUUGGGUUCCGGUUGCUGCCUUGGUCUCCUGGAGGAGGCCAAGCUAGAGGGCUGACCUGCCUUUGCCAGGUGGGACAUAAAUAAUUUAUUCAUUUCAAACUGUCUCUGAAUGUCAGUUCAAUGACCUCUCCUCAUUUCAUCUGCCCAAACUGGCAGGAAUUAGAGCAUUCUGCCAUGAUAUACCAUCGUUAGGGAGCAAAUGUUAAUAUAGAGGGAGUUCGACCAUCAAAAAAAGUCUAUGGAAUUCAGAAUUUUUGCAGU